AUGCACAAGGUGAAGGCUCUUGCCUACGCCAUGGCCUCUGCUAGAUCUCCUCUCGCUGAUGAUGAGAUCAUCGACUACAUGCUCACCGGUUUGGGCAAGGCCUUCAACCCGAUCGCGGCGUCGCUCAGUGUUGUGGUCACCCCGGUUGCGCCGACUGACUUCUACUCCAUGGUUCUCAACUAUGAAGCGCUGCAGUUAUCGCAGCAGGCCGAUGAUGAGGAGUGGACCUCGUCGGCCAACGCCGUGGCUCGGUCCGGCGCUCCUCCCCCCGCCAACCGCCCUCGCGCGCCUGACUCUGGUCGCGCAGCCGACUCCCGCCCCGCCGGAGGCUACCCGCAGCAACAGGGGCAGGGCUACCAGCAAGGCGGCCAAGACAACCGUCGUAGCAACGGCGGUGGAGGAGGCGGCAAUGGCCGCAACGGCAAUCGUCGCUGGCGCCCGUGGUGCCAGAUUUGUAAAAAUUGGGGUCACGAAGCCGAUACCUGCAAGAAGCGUUUUGAUUCAGACUACUCCAGCGGCGGCAAUGGCCGCUCGGCAUAUAAUGCUUCGACCUCCUCCAACAACUCCACGCACUGGGUUCUGGACUCCGGCACCAUGGAUCACCUGACUAGUGACCUGGAGCGUCUUCAGUUCCGCGAGCGUUACGACGGUCAUGAUCAGGUUCAGGUGCCCAACGGCUCAGGACAAAGCCACCAGGAGAAUUCUUCUUCGAGGUAG
rnacentral:rRNA from 1 species